rnacentral:tRNA from 1 species
UAUAUUUUAGUGUAAGAGCACAAUAAUUUUUGAAGUUAUUAGAUUUUAUUAAAAUUAAAAAAAUAUAA